GCCUCUCAGCAAAUAUCCUCCUGUGAUAAAUGACAUCUCCUUUUGGCUGCCCUCUGAGAAAUACUCUGAAAAUGACUUCUAUGAUUUAGUCCGAACCAUUGGAGGAGACUUGGUGGAAAAGGUUGUCCUCAUUGACAAAUUCACACAUCCCAAGACAAAGAAGGUCAGCCAUUGCUAUCGUAUCACUUACCGGCACUUGGAGAGGACUCUGACUCAGCUCGAGGUGAACCGCCUUCAUCGAGCCAUAGAGGAAUCGGCGGUACAAGAACUGGGAGUGGAGGGUAGAUUCUAAAAUCCUUGCGUUGCCUGUCACAAUCACUGUGGAUGUUUUUUUUUUGUAAAGAAAGAAAGGAAUUUUGUGGCGAAGCGUAGAGUUUGGAAGCCUUUUGAUAAAUGGGCAGUGGUAGAACUUUCAGAUCAUAAAGAUUACCACUGAGAAAUUGUUGACAAAGCAUUUGUCCUUUAUUUUAAGAAAGGGAAGGGGGAGCAGUAAUGUAAGAUUUCCCUCCUGUUACAUUAAGAAAUACUCUGCCUGGUGGUUUUCUGUGUUGUUAAUUGGUCCCUGGGUUCCAUUAUAGUGUAAACACUUGGCAUUAUUUCUGUGUUGACAGGGUUUUCCGUCCACGUCAUGAGUGAAGCAAAACAGAGGUACAUUUUAGCGCUAAAUAGAAAAACUGUUCAUUCUUUCUUUUCUCCCCCUUCUUAUAAAAAGGGCACAUUCUGCGUCAAGAAAAACUUUCAUGAAAUAUACCUGCAAAGUUUGGAUCUUGACCCAAGUUGAUUGCUCUUGGAUUUUGGUUUGGCCUAUUCUAAAGGAAGGGAUAGAUGUGGAGUGUGACUCUGGGUGCAAAUCAGAACUUUCCCAGAGUGCUGGGUGUUUGGAUGUGGCCUCUGGUGUGGGCCCAGCUGUACUCAGACCAAGCCAAAGAGAGCAUCUCCUCUUGACACUUCUAGCUGCAUGUGUUUCACAUGCAAAGUGUCUGCUUCAAAUCAGUGUUCCUAGCAUGUGUACUAUGGCAAAAAUUUUCAUCGCCCGCAUCAUCAGCCAAAGAUUGAUAUCGCUUGGAGGUGGAAGAGGGAAGUACUUGUUAUUACAAGGCCCUGAAAAGCAGAAAUAUGCAGGUACUUGAACUCCCAUAAUGUUGUGCUUCCUAACAGAAGUCAUCUACUGAAAGACAUGACCCUGGAGGGAGAAAGCGGGUCUUUGAUGGAACCCCUUUCUAGUUCAGUCACUUUAUUGGAUGCUUACUUCUUUCAUGACAGGUUAUAAUAAGCAAAUUUUGGCAGUGGAAUGACACUGGAGGCUUGUGGAAAUUUUCAAAUGGUCUGAUAAAUACUUGAUGAAGCACUCAGAUGCAGAGACAGUAGUGCGAGCGCAUGUUCUUGCCUGUAAAGAUAUUUAAUAUGAUCUUUCAGGUAACUUACAAAUUUGUUGGCUCUGCAAGGAACAUUGCUUUCUCCAGGGAAGGGAGCAGUAAAAGCCAUGCACUAAGAACCAUCCAGCAUUGCUUUAUACCCCAUCACGAGACUAAUGUGCAAUAAACAUGUACUCAACCAGAAGAAGCCAGCAACUAGCACAGAUGGAACAUGAACUGAGAGCUCAUUGUAAUUUCAUUAUUCAACAGACUUCACUGUAUAAACAAAUUUUAAUCUAAAUCAUUGUUGCACUAACUAAAUAACUUGAUUAUAAAGAUAGUAUGCUAGAUUUUUUCUACAAGGCAGAGUAGGAGCCAUUUACACACCAGAAGAACCUACUUGGUGAUCUUUAAACAAAAAUCUUUUUAAAGAGCAGGUGUCCUUAAUUGUCUUCCAUUUCAUUUGAUUCCCUCCUAUUUUUAAUCUCCGCCCCUUUUAGAAUUCUCAUUAGGGACUACUACAAUGAAAGGGCUUUUUCAAAAAUUGCACCAGAGCGGUGAUUAUUCCUUGGCGCAGCCAAGUUCAGGCAAUGCUGCCACCUGGGGACCCCAAAUCUUACAUGAUGAAAGGGUGGUGUGAUGUUCAGCGAUCACAUUACACGAGGAGGAGAGUACAAGCUGCUUCCUGCUGUGUGAGAGCACUGAGGUAGUACCUAGAGACUUUUGGAGAAAGAUGACAUCUCCUUUCUUAUUAUGACCCUGGCUGGGGCACAUUGCAAGAUUCUCUCUACCAUUCAAUAGGGAAACCUCCAUCUACUGCUUCCCAAACCCCUUUACUCUGCCUCCUCCCUCCCCUUCCCCCCAUGCACACAAUUUCUUAGGGCAAGAUUGAUUUUCCCAUGGGAUUGAUCCAUCAAUAUGUGUGGCAUAGAAGUUUAAGAAAGGUAGUGGGGAGAAAAUUGGACAGUGAACCUUGGGUCUCAUGCCAGAGACGUGAAUUUUCACUUCACUAUUGGUCUGGUUUCUUCAUUUAAAAAAUGUCUGAUACCACUGUCUUGAAUUUUUUUUCCUUAAUAAAAGAGUAUCUCGUAAAA